rnacentral:tRNA from 1 species
GCCUAGUUAGCUUAGUUGGUAGUGCGUCUGCCUUGUAAGCGCUAGGUCGCGGGUUCGAUUCCCGCCGGGGGCG